CAAACGUUAUUCGGAAUCACUGGGCUUAAAGAGUUCGUAGGCGGUCUGGAAAGUUGGGUGUGAAAUCCCUCGGCCUAACCGAGGAACUGCGCUUGAAACUACCAGACUCGAGGGAGAUAGAGGAAAGCGGAACUGAUGGUGGAGCGGUGAAAUGCGUUGAUAUCAUCAGGAACACCGGUGGCGAAGGCGGCUUUCUGGGUCUUACCUGACGCUGAGGAACGAAAGCCAGGGGAGCGAACGGG
rnacentral:rRNA from 1 species